rnacentral:rRNA from 1 species
GACGAACGCUGGCGGCGUGCUUAACACAAGCAAGUCGAACGGUAAGGCCCUUCGGGGUACACGAGUGGCGAACGGGUGAGUAACACGUGGGUGAUCUGCCCUGCACUUCGGGAUAAGCCUGGGAAACUGGGUCUAAUACCGGAUAGGACACUGCCUGCAUGGGUGGUGGUGGAAAGCUUUUGCGGUGUGGGAUGGGCCCGCGGCCUAUCAGCUUGUUGGUGGGGUGAUGGCCUACCAAGGCGACGACGGGUAGCCGGCCUGAGAGGGUGACCGGCCGCACUGGGACUGAGAUACGGCCCAGACUCCUACGGGAGGAAGCAGUGGUGAAUAUUGCACAAUGGGCGCAAGCCUGAUGCAGCGACGCCGCGUGAGGGAUGACGGCCUUCGGGUUGUAAACCUCUUUCAGCACCGACGAAGCGCAAGUGACGGUAGGUGCAGAAGAAGGACCGGCCAACUACGUGCCAGCCGCCGCCGUAA